rnacentral:rRNA from 1 species
CCUACGGGUGGCAGCAGUGAGGAAUAUUGGUCAAUGGGCGCGAGCCUGAACCAGCCAAGUAGCGUGAAGGAUGACUGCCCUACGGGUUGUAAACUGCUUUUAUAAAGGAAUAAAGCGAGGUACGUGUGCUCUUUUGUAUGUACUUUAUGAAUAAGGAUCGGCUAACUCCGUGCCAGCAGCCGCGGUAAUACGGAGGAUCCGAGCGUUAUCCGGAUUUAUUGGGUUUAAAGGGUGCGUAGAUGGGUUGUUAAGUCAGUUGUGAAAGUUUGCGGCUCAACCGUAAAAUUGCAAUUGAUACUGGCAGCCUUGAGUGCAGUUGAGGUAGGCGGAAUGCGUGGUGUAGCGGUGAAAUGCUUAGAGAUCACGAAGAACUCCGAUUGCGAAGGCAGUUCACUGGACUGCAACUGACACUGAGGCUCGAAAGUGUGGGUAUCAAACAGGAUUAGAUACCCGGGUAGUC